CCACCUGUUCCCCCUCUCCUCUCCUUUUCCGAAAUAAAAUUUCCUCUUGACCAAACUCCCUUGAUUUUACGCUGGCAUUUCAUAGCCUUGGACAAAUUAUGCAGCAUUUAAAUCACUCCUAAUUACCACCUCUGUCAGCAGGACUUGGUACCAAGAAUGGAAGAGGGAGAGACCUGGAAAAAAAAGCGGAAAAAUCAGCUGCUGGGAAGGAGACUCAAGUAAUUGCAAGAGGCUGUCUUCUCUCUGGAAGGACUGGCAAUCAAGGAGAUCAAUCCACCCCCAGCCAAGCUUCACAUAUCAGGCUUCCCUAUGGAACUAGAAGAUGGAUGAAAGAAGAAGUGUUUUCAGAGGAGCUUGGAUACCUUGGAAAAAUCCCAGACCAGAUGGGGAGAAAGGAGCCCCGAGAUGUUCGUGUUUCUCACAGCUGUGAUAUUAAGACAACGUCUUUGGAAUUGUACUAAAGAGCUUGGAAGAGAGGAGGGAUAAAGCAGUCCUUUGCUGUAAGCACUCCAUGCUGUUACAGUGAUGGCCAUUUCCAGAUUGCUGUCGCUGAGGUGUGAAAUGUACAUAGGUACCUUGUGAAAGCAGUCAACACAAAGAGGAAUGGAGGGAAGCCAUAGAAACUACAGAGACUCCCUGAUGGAGAAGAGGUUUUAUGGCAAUGAGUGGCUAACCAAACCACAAGUUCCCCAAGAUUCGGAUCUCACCUGUCUUGUUAGCUGCACCUCAGUAGCUGCAAUUGGAUGCCUAGCACAUUAGGUGUAGACAGACUGAGGCCAGUUGAGGUAAUGAUUUCUCCAAGUUAGCAAGCAGUGGAGCCAGAAUGAAACCACAGUCCUCUGGAGGGGCAGCCAGCACUCUUCACCACGGAACCACUUCCCCAGCCCGUCUGAAACUCUUCACAGGACUCUUGAAACAGGAUGCAUCCUCACUGACUCAUGUCAACAAAAUAAUUACUGACUUUUGCUACAGCGAGUGCAACGAUUCGAAUGUAAGAAAAAUAAUUAAACGCAGUUCUUUUCUGUGAAAAGUUGUUUAUGAAAUAAUUGGCAAAAAUGUCUGAAACCCUGCACAGUAAAGUGAGACCAAUAACUGCCAGUAAGGGAUGUGCAGGGACAGAGCAGAGGGGGCUGUCUCUCCCGGUGGACAUGGCAGGGCGGGCUUCGUACAGUACACAGAAUGUGGGGUGAACCUCAAUUUCACUUAGAGUAUCAAAGUGACACUGUGAUUGUGAGCUUGCCUUUUAUUUUUUAUUUUGUUUUUGUAUUGAAGACUAAGUGUCUGAUCCAAAAUGGCCUUGGCAGGUUGGGGAAAAGGUUAGAGGCUGGCAAUUCAGAGUCUAGGAGGCAGUGCCUUUUCUUUUACUCAUGGUAGAUAGAGAGAAAGGGUGUGAGUCAUUUAUUAGCUCAACUUUUAAAUUUUUGCUAUUGUUGCUGAACGCCUACUAUGUGCAGAGGUGUCCGGUGAUGAUCAGAAACAGAUGCAUUGUGUGGAGGUACUCGGAGGGGCUCCUAUCUUCAUUACACAUAUAAGAUUCUGUACAUGAUUGAAUCCACUACUUAGACUUUAAAUAAUGGGGAAACUCGAACUUUCAGGAGAGCAAAGGAGGUAGAUAGAAUGUGGUUAGUGCUUCUGGCUGGAGAAAGAGCCAAGGGAGAGCAAAUUAGUUCAGCACUAUGUAGUUGUUCUCGCUGUGUUGUUCCCAUCAUCACUGUCACCGAAAAGUCAGACUGGUACUGCCUUGCGCACAUGGAGUCACCCUCAGCCAGCAAUCAGGCUCUGUAUGUGGAAGUAAACACUUUUGGCCAUCUUCAGAGUCUAGUAAUCUUAUUCUUCCAUGGAGUAAGAGCACAAAAAAGAAGCAAAAAGGAACAAGGGCCAGGGAUCCAGGGUUCGUUUCUUUUUGUCUUUGUCUUCUGCUAUCCACUUUAUCCCCUACCCCUGUCCAUGCCUUCUCUAAGAAAUAACUGAAAAUCUAGAGACCCAUGGCAUGCCUGCCCACAGGGCUCUGCUCAGUCACAUGUGCCUCACUCCAUUGUGCUGUUAUUUCAAGCUGUCAUUUUUCUGUCCCGAAUCCGCGUAGCACAAUGCCCUCAGUCUAAGCACCGUCCUGACUUGCAGUCAGAGAGCCAGCCUAUUGUAAUGAUGACUGCCAUAUUUAUGCAUAAGGGUUGAAACUGGAACCCAUUGUCCCUGCAGACGGGGAAAUCACAGAACAAUGGCUUCAGGAAGGAAUUGUUCACAGUCUGGCAGAAAACAGCCCUGCUGACUUCUGUGCAGUGCAAGAUGAUUUAGCGCUGAAGUACAAAGAAUAAUGACAGGGUCUUUCUUAGGACCCUCGUACGUGCAGACCAUGUCCACAGCAGCUGAGCUGACUACAGGAAUUCAGAAAAUGCCAGGGGGAGCAGUUUUUAACCUCUGAAAAGCUGUUAGUUACAUAAGCCUUGGAAAUGUGCUGCCUUGCUUUUUGCUCCGCAGGCGUGUGGAUCCCACAUCUUCUCACCUGUGCAGUAUCAGGCUUGGGAGGGAUUCUGUCAGACACUCAGCCCACUCUACUCCUACAUCUAUGGCUAAUUCAUUUGAGGGCUUUAGGGAUGUGCCUUCGAGCUAAUUCAUAAUAAAGGAUGGAGGUUAGUCACUAGGCAGAAGAAAGAAUUUCUCUAGAAGAGUGUUUUCUUUUCCUGGGAUAGAUAGGACUUUUGUCACAGUUGAUAUUGAAGGAUUUUUACAAUAAAAUUUGUAAAUCUUGA